rnacentral:rRNA from 1 species
AGUGAACGCUGGCGGUAGGCCUAACACAUGCAAGUCGAACGGCAGCACAGUAAGAGCUUGCUCUUACGGGUGGCGAGUGGCGGACGGGUGAGGAAUACAUCGGAAUCUACUUUUUCGUGGGGGAUAACGUAGGGAAACUUACGCUAAUACCGCAUACGACCUACGGGUGAAAGCAGGGGAUCUUCGGACCUUGCGCGAUUGAAUGAGCCGAUGUCCGAUUAGCUAGUUGGCCGGGUAAAGGCCCACCAAGGCGACGAUCCGUAGCUGGUCUGAGAGGAUGAUCAGCCACACUGGAACAGUGACGCGGUGCAGACGCCUACGGAAGGCAGCAGUGUAGACUAUUGGACAAUGGGCGCAAGCCUGAUCCAGCCAUACCGCGUGGGUGAAGAAGGCCUUCGGGUUUUAAAGCCCUUUUGUUGGGAAAGAAAAGCAGCAGAUUAAUACCCCGCUGUUCUGACGGUACCCAAAGAGUAAGCUCCGGCUAACUUCGUG